UCCGUGGGCUGAGAUUCAAGAGCUGGCCGAUACUUGGCUUACCGUUGCCUUGGAGCGGCAUUACCAGGUUCCGGUGCAGUCGGAUCCACGAACAAGUACCCUCUACGAGCUUCUCUUUGACUCUUGUUGGGAUCGGGCCUGUGAGAUUCUCGGCACUGCUCAGGCUCGGGCUGCCCAGCGUUUAAAGAAUCUUAAGAUAUGGCUCUCGGCCGAUUUCUGCCUGUCAAGACUCUUUCUUGAGGCCCCUUGUCCAGUGGCUCCCCGUAUGUUUCAAUAUGGGGAUGACCCUCUUGAAUAUCUAAGAUAUCUGAUCGGGGAUUCUACGCUUGGUGACGAGAUCGUUGACGCCCUUACUUGGUACGAGUACUUCGAGUAUGUACGCGGUGAUGCUCCCUAACUCGUCGUUUUCGCUGACCCCGCGGAGAAGGAGAUAAGGCUCUUGGUGUUCGAGCGCCACUAUGAAAAAGGGGUUUUUCCGUCUUUUAUUC